UACUUGGGCUGGUUUUCUUUUUGAUCUCAUUCCUUUCACGUUAAAGUAAGUUCUUGUCUAAUUAGCCAAAUUUACAUCUUAGGUGCUAAGAUUUGGAAAUACUCAGUCUUCAGACUGCACAUAUUGCUCAGAAGAGUAACUUGAGGGUUUUUUCUUGUCUGUGGUGCUGCAUCAAUGUGAGCAAUGAGCCGUGGGUUCUUUGAUAACGAGCUUGCAUUUACAUAGUGCCUGUCAUCGCCGAGGAGUUGUGCUAACUGCGUGUAUUGACAAAGCCUUGGCCAUAGCACUGUGCCUCUCUGGCAGGUUGUCUGCUGUCUCGUUAUGUUCAUCGCGUUAAUGUAUGGACGUUCAUUGCUUUAAUGUAUGGAAAGCUGUUAGCCAAAGUGUCCUUCGUAUGGGGAGGGGGGGGGAACAAAUGGCUAGGUAAUACAUUACUGUGAGUGCUGUAAACAUUCCCUAGCAUAUCAUUAAUACCCAACUGUAUUUCUCUCUUCAGAGAGCUCACAGUGCCCCAUAAAGAAGGCCUCUCAAGCCCAGGAAGCUGAAGCCAGCCAGGGAAGGAAGCAUCAGCUGCCUUCAGAAGGAAGGAAUCAGAAGGGAGCAGCACCAGCCCAUGCAGCAUCACACCUUCGGGGGCUUGGAGAAAAACCGAGCAAUUUCUCCGUGCUGGGUGCAGCUCCUUGGACCAGCUUCUGCCCGGGCAGUAGGAAGGUAUUGCAGCAUCCUCUGUGACUGCGUGUUCUGACCUCCAGAAACGUUUGAUCCGUAAUGUUUUAGA
rnacentral:lncRNA from 1 species